CCUACGGGAGGCAGCAGUGAGGAAUAUUGGUCAAUGGGCGCGAGCCUGAACCAGCCAAGUAGCGUGAAGGAUGACUGCCCUACGGGUUGUAAACUUCUUUUAUAAAGGAAUAAAGUGAGGCACGUGUGCCUUUUUGUAUGUACUUUAUGAAUAAGGAUCGGCUAACUCCGUGCCAGCAGCCGCGGUAAUAUGGAGGAUCCGAGGGUUAUCCGGAUUUAUUGGGUUUAAAGGGAGCGUAGAUGGGUUGUUAAGUCAGUUGUGAAAGUUUUCGGCUCAACCGUAAAAUUGCAAUUGGUAAUGGCAGCCUUGAGUACAGUUGAGGUAGGCGGAAUUCGUGGUGUCGCGGUGAAAUGCUUAGAUAUCACGAAGAACUCCGAUUGCGAAGGCAGCUUACUAAACUGCCACUGACAUUGAUGCUCGAAAGUGUGGGUAUCAAACAGGAUUAGAUACCCGAGUAGUC
rnacentral:rRNA from 1 species